rnacentral:rRNA from 1 species
AGCGAACGCUGGCGGCAGGCUUAACACAUGCAAGUCGAACGCCCCUUUCGGGGGGAGUGGCAGACGGGUGAGUAACGCGUGGGAACGUGCCCAUCGGUUCGGGAUAACCCAGGGAAACUUGGGCUAAUACCGGAUACGACCGUGAGGUGAAAGAACUUCGCCGAUGGAUCGGCCCGCGUCCGAUUAGCUGGUUGGUAGGGUAACGGCCUACCAAGGCGACGAUCAGUAGCUGGUCUGAGAGGAUGAUCAGCCACACUGGGACUGAGACACGGCCCAGACUCCUACGGGAGGCAGCAGUGGGGAAUAUUGGACAAUGGGCGCAAGCCUGAUCCAGCCAUGCCGCGUGAGUGAUGAAGGCCCUAGGGUUGUAAAGCUCUUUCGCACGCGACGAUAAUGACGGUAGCGUGAGAAGAAGCCCCGGCUAACUUCGUGCCAGCAGCCGCAGUAACAC